AUUGAACGCUGGCGGCAGGCCUAACACAUGCAAGUCGAACGAGUGGCGGACGGGUGAGUAAUGUCUGGGAAACUGCCUGAUGGAGGGGGAUAACUACUGGAAACGGUAGCUAAUACCGCAUACCAUCAGAUGUGCCCAGAUGGGAUUAGCUUGUGGGUGGGGUAACGGCUCACCAAGGCGACGAUCCCUAGCUGGUCUGAUCGGAUUACCAGCAACACUGCAACUGAGAAAAGGUGCAGAUUCCUACGGGAGGCAGCAGUGGGGAAGAUUGAAGAAUGGGAGCAAGCCUGAUGCAGCCAUGCCGCUUGUAUGAAGAAGGCCUUCGGGUUGUAAAGUACUUUCAGCGGGGAGGCGUUACCCGCAGAAGAAGCACUGGCUAACUCCGUGCCAGCCGCCGCGGUAAUAC
rnacentral:rRNA from 1 species